AUGGCGUUCCCCUCCUCUAGUUCCUCAAUUCUAAGCGACUGGCCUUCCGAGCCCCCAAUGGAAGUUGGCUGGGGGGCUGCACCACGUCAGGGGUCAGACCCCGCGCCCUCACCUGGCGCCCAGGAGGGGUCUGUGGGGUGCAGCCAACGAGCACGCGCCCCCUCCAGGCGCGGGGCGCCGCGGCGCGCUCCCCGCAGCUGGGUGGACCCGGGCGGCGGCCCCGCAGCGUGCGCCCCCCGCGUCCUCCCGCCCCAGACCCCCAGAGGCGCAUCUUUUGGGGACCCCCCCCGUGCCGGCCGCUCCCCACCCCCUGCGGCGCCCCCUCUGCAGCCGCGGCGGCGCGGCCCGGAUCGCAUGGCACCCCCAGCCCUGCCCGCACCCAUCACGCGCGCGCCCCGCGCCUGGCGCCCUCUCCGGGUGCAAAGCGGCUCCAAGGGCGCGCGCGGCGGCCCGGGCGGCGGCGCCGGGGAGCCCCGGGCACGUACCUGGCGGCCCGGGCGAGCGGCGAGGGGAUCGCGGGCGCUGGAGCAGGGAGCCUCGGAGCCUCGGAGCCUCGGAGCCGCCGCCGCCGUUUCCGGGUUGGCCGGUCGCACGUCACCGCCACAGGUUUGCGAGCGGCCCCCGGCGCGGCGGCAGCAGCGGCGCAGCGGCCCCGGCGAGUGCCAGGCGAGAAAUAACUAUAAAAGGAAGAGACGCCUCGAGGAGGAAGAGGAAACGCUGUUUACCUUCGAGCAGCCGAGCCGCCGGCGCUCGCACAAAAGGAGGACGCGCGCCGCCGCCGCCUCCCCCCGCGCCCCGGCCCCGCCGCAUCGCGGGCCCCGCGUCAGCGCGCGCCCCCGCCCGAGCCCGGCGCCGGGGGCCCGGGAGCGGGGUCCGGGCGCCGCGGGGGCCCCUGCUCCCCCAGCCGACCCGCCCUGGCCUGGCCCCGGGGUGACCUUGGGCAAGUCACAGCGGGCGGGCAAGCGGGCGCGGGGUGCGCUGGGGAGCUCGUGGUCCUCCCGGUGGAAGGAAGGUCCAGCUCUGAUGACCCAGGGUCACAGCCUGUCUGGCAGGGCUCCAGCUCGAACUGGAGGCCUCCGACCUUCAGACCAGCCAGGUUCCUGCCCCUGGUCCUCUCCCCUCUCACCUGCACCUUGGGAAUGA
rnacentral:lncRNA from 1 species